rnacentral:rRNA from 1 species
CCCUUAGAUGUUCUGGGCCGCACGCGCGCUACACUGACGAAUGCAACGAGCUUAUAACCUUGGCCGAAAGGUCUGGGUAAUCUCCAAAUUUCGUCGUGAUGGGGAUAGUUUAUUGCAAUUAUUAAUCUUCAACGAGGAAUGCCUAGUAAGCGCAAGUCAUCAGCUUGCGUUGAUUACGUCCCUGCCCUUUGUACACACCGCCCGUCGCUCCUACCGAUUGAAUGGUCCGGUGAAGCGCUCGGACCGCGGCCUCUUGACGGUUCGCUGUCGAUUGGCUGUGGGAAGUUCGUUAAACCUUAUCAUUUAGAGGAAGGAGAAGUCGUAACA